UAUGUUUUAGUGUAAAAGCACGUGAAGUUUUGAUCUUUGAGGGGAUGGUGUAAUUCCAUUAAAUAUAG
rnacentral:tRNA from 1 species